rnacentral:tRNA from 2 species
UGCCCCAUGGCUGAGUUGGUUACAGCGUCCGACUGUUACCUUUGUAUAUCGGAAGGUCGUGAGUUCGAGCCUCACUGGGGCAG